rnacentral:rRNA from 1 species
AUGAUCACAUUUGCGUCUUGUACUUUGGAGCUGCCAGUCAAAUUCCUUGAUACCUUUGACAAGAUACGGCGAAGAUGUUUAUGGGAAAAGAAAUCUGAACAUGGUCAAUCUUGUAACUCUUUAGUGGCUUGGAAAAGAGUGUGUUGUCCCAAAGAUAAGGGAGGUCUCAGAGUGAUCAACACUAAAGUUCAUAAUCAAGCACACCUCCUGAAAUUCUUGGAUAAAUUUUACAAUCAUGCAGAUCUCCAAUGGGUUAAAUUACUUUGGGAGUCAUACUAUACUGGUACUGUCCCUCAUGCUGUCCCUAAGUGCGGUUCAUUUUGGUGGCGGUCUAUGGUUAAACUUAUUCCUAUCUACAGAGGAUUCACCAAAUGUGAGGUACGGAAUGGCUUAAAUGUAUCCAUGUGGCAUGAUAAUUGGAAUGGUCUAGUGCUCUCUGAAAACUAUGCCUGCUUGUAUUCAUAUUCCAAGGUUGAAGAUAUCUCAGUUCACACGUACUAUGAGACUAAUGAUUUGAAUAUGAUAUUUCAUUUACCUCUAUCUCCCGAGGCUCUCAAUGAGUUACACUCCAUAGAUAGUCUAAAACCGCCACAAAUUCUUGAGACUGAAAGUACUGAUCAAUGGUCAUACCCAUGGGGACCAGUUUAUUCGGCCAAAAAAUCUACACUCACUGUCAUAGACAAAUCACCUGUCCGGAGCCUUUAA